rnacentral:rRNA from 1 species
UCUGGUGAUGAUGCGACUAGGGGAAACACCCGUUUCCAUACCGAACACGAUGGUUAAGACUUAGUCGGCCGAUGGUACUUGCUUGGAGACGAGCUGGGAGAGUAGGUGGUUGCCAGAU